rnacentral:rRNA from 1 species
CACGUAGGGGGCAAGCGUUGUCCGGAUUUAUUGGGCGUAAAGAGCUCGUAGGCGGCUCAGUAAGUCAGGUGUGAAACCUCCAGGCUCAACCUGGAGACGCCACCUGAUACUGCUGUGGCUAGAGUCCGGUAGGGGAGCGUGGAAUUCCUGGUGUAGCGGUGAAAUGCGCAGAUAUCAGGAGGAACACCGAUUGCGAAGGCAGCUCGCUGGGACGUCACUGACGCUGAGACGCGAAAGCGUGGGGAGCAAACAGG